rfam:Triticum aestivum genome assembly, contig: Triticum_aestivum_CS42_TGACv1_scaffold_556404_7AL
CAAAUACUCCCUCCAUCCGGAAAUACUUGUCAUCAAAAUGGAUAAAAGGAAAUGUAUCUAGACGUAUUUUAGUUUUCGAUAUAUCUCUUUUUAUCCAUUUUGAUGACAAGUAUUUUCGGACGGAGGGAGUAGAAA